rnacentral:rRNA from 1 species
GUUAAGCGACUAAGCGUACACGGUGGAUGCCCUGGCAGUCAGAGGCGAUGAAGGGCGUGCUAAUCUGCGAUAAGCGCCGGUAAGGUGAUAUGAACCGUUAUAACCGGCGAUACCCGAAUGGGGAAACCCAGUGUGAUUCGUCACACUAUCAUUAACUGAAUCCAUAGGUUAAUGAGGCGAACCGGGGGAACUGAAACAUCUAAGUACCCCGAGGAAAAGAAAUCAACCGAGAUUCCCCCAGUAGCGGCGAGCGAACGGGGAGGAGCCCAGAGCCUGAAUCAGCAUGUGUGUUAGUGGAAGCGUCUGGAAAGGCGCGCGAUACAGGGUGACAGCCCCGUACACAAAAGCGCAUGUGCUGUGAGCUCGAUGAGUAGGGCGGGACACGUGGUAUCCUGUCUGAAUAUGGGGGGACCAUCCUCCAAGGCUAAAUACUCCUGACUGACCGAUAGUGAACCAGUACCGUGAGGGAAAGGCGAAAAGAACCCCGGCGAGGGGAGUGAAAAAGAACCUGAAACCGUGUACGUACAAGCAGUGGGAGCACAGGUUUACCUGUGUGACUGCGUACCUUUUGUAUAAUGGGUCAGCGACUUAUAUUCUGUAGCAAGGUUAACCGUAUAGGGGAGCCGGAGGGAAACCGAGUCUUAACCGGGCGUUAAGUUGCAGGGUAUAGACCCGAAACCCGGUGAUCUAGCCAUGGGCAGGUUGAAGGUUGGGUAACACUAACUGGAGGACCGAACCGACUAAUGUUGAAAAAUUAGCGGAUGACCUGUGGCUGGGGGUGAAAGGCCAAUCAAACCGGGAGAUAGCUGGUUCUCCCCGAAAGCUAUUUAGGUAGCGCCUCGUGAAUUCAUCUCCGGGGGUAGAGCACUGUUUCGGCUAGGGGGCCAUCCCGGCUUACCAACCCGAUGCAAACUGCGAAUACCGGAGAAUGUUAUCACGGGAGACACACGGCGGGUGCUAACGUCCGUCGUGAAGAGGGAAACAACCCAGACCGCCAGCUAAGGUCCCAAAGUCAUGGUUAAGUGGGAAACGAUGUGGGAAGGCCCAGACAGCCAGGAUGUUGGCUUAGAAGCAGCCAUCAUUUAAAGAAAGCGUAAUAGCUCACUGGUCGAGUCGGCCUGCGCGGAAGAUGUAACGGGGCUAAACCAU